GCUUCUUGUGUUAAAUGAUGUUUGAUUCCUUUGUGUAUUUCUGCCUGGUUUGGGGUUGUUUUUUUUAUUUGAAAUGACGGAUUACUUGUUUAUUCCAGUCCAGCAGGCUGUUAUUUAGGCUCUGUUCACAUUUUUUUUCUUUAUUUUUGCUCUUAAUAAUGUUUUAGAUAAUGAUUAAUGUUUUUUUGUUGAUCUGUGUUCAGGUUGAGUCCUUGCACCUGACCAAAUGAAUUAGCCAAGUGAACUUAGCAGGCAACAACCUAAGAUGGCAGCUUAUCUUCACCCAGCUCCAUAGGUGAGCGCUUCGCUGAGUGAUGCACAGCCAGUUAAACAGCUCUUCAUGUGCUUCCCAUCAGAACUUGUUCCCAGACUCCUCAUGAUGAGCUCCCCUCUUCAGUGCCCUGCCAACAGCUCAAACCACUGAGUUUACCCCCAAGCGGAGGAGGGAUUCUACUGCUUUCUGGAAUCCAGUGGUCCUGGUGGACUUGGACCAUUCUGAGGUUGUUCCUGAACUGAUGUACCCUGAUGUCCCAGAGCCAACCACUCUCCCAGUUAUGUCACACAGGCUGUCACAGAGUCCCCUGUUAAGCCAUUAAGGUCCCAGAGCUCUUCCAGUUACAGACAAGGUGGUUAUUCUGGAGUCAACCACUUGCCAUGCCCAUAGAGUCCCUGCCAUAGAGUCCCUGCCAUAGAGUCCCUGCCAUAGAGUCCCUGCCAUAGAG
rnacentral:lncRNA from 1 species